CAGUAGCCGCGGUAAUACGAAGGUCCCAAGCGUUGUUCGGAAUCACUGGGCGUAAAGGGAGCGUAGGCGGCGUGGUAAGUCAGAUGUGAAAUCCCGGGGCUCAACCCCGGAACUGCAUUUGAUACUGCCAUGCUUGAGGGUUGGAGAGGUAGCUGGAAUUCUUGGUGUAGCAGUGAAAUGCGUGGAUAUCAAGAGGAACACUCGUGGCGAAGGCGAGCUACUGGACAACAUCUGACGCUGAGGCUCGAAGGCUAGGGUAGCGAAAGGGAUUAGAUACCCCCGUAGUCCCUGUCUCUUAUAC
rnacentral:rRNA from 1 species